AUUCAUUUAACAAAUACUUUGGAGUGUUUACCAUGUGCCAAGUGCUGUUCUAAUAGACAUAAGCUGUGAGGUUAUGCUUAUCUGAUUCUCACAGCAACAGCUUUCGAGAUAUGAAUUGGUAUACUCAUUUGACAGAUGAGGAAAUUGAAUUCAUGUAGUGAGAAAGGAAGAGCUGCAAUUCAGGGUUACUGGUUUCUCCUGCACUAAGCACUGAGCCACACUAGAAGAGAAGGCAUGAGGAAGACAAAAGUGAGAAGGCACUCAGGAAAUAUUAGUUGCAUGAACGAAGGCUGCAUUUUCAUUAGAACAACAUGCAGUUCAACCCCUUCAUGUUUCAAUGAGGGUUCAGAUACCCAGAGGGCUAUGCUAUCAUCCUGGAGCCCACUCUGCUAACAAUUAGCAGAACGGAAGCCUUAAUUUCCAGAUUCUAGUGAACUUGAUGAGUCAAGACUAUUGCAAUUGGAAAUCUGUUCUCCUCUGCUGCUGCAUUCCCUGCUUAAUACUCAAGCCAGAAACCAGGAAGGCUGUGGCUUGCCUUUUCACUUCUUGUGUCCUGUUUAAGAAAUAUCUGCUAUCCCAAGCAUCUGGCAUCUUUCUUGACAUAUGUAGCAGUUGCUUUUUGACAGCUUGCUUCUUCAGUGAAUGAAUAAAUUAAUAAAGAGAAAUGUGAUGUUCAGUGAUCCAUUUUGCAGAUUGCAAACUCCUAGAGAAGGGCUCAACAGUGAGUGCUGAGGCUGCACAGAGGAGGAAGGCAGCACAAUGAUGGAAGGCUUCCUAAAGAGGCUCUUGAGUUUCUGCUUUCAAGUGACCCUCAGAAAUUCCUCCAUUCACUGCAGAGGUUCUGUUUCUCCUUGCUUUGUUCUGACUUUACGGCAGAACUAAGCUAAUGAGUUAGUUACUAUGGGUUAUCACUUGGAUUUGAAGAACCAUCAUUUCUAGGCAUUGCUGCUCAGAGUGGGUCUGCCCUCAGGGGAAGCUGUCUAACCAGAGCCUAACCCACUAGGGUUUUAUCAGAACCUAACUGACCUGAGGAAAAGAAAUACUCAACUCCAGCAAGCUCCAGCCUUCCAAAUGGAGGAGGAGAAAACCCAACUCCAGCCCACUUCAGCUAUCUUGUCCCACAUAAAGGGGAAGUGGAAGAAACCUGAGAAGCAGGCAUGAAGUUCACAGUCCAGAGGUACAGACACAUCAGAGUUCAGUAUCUGAUGAAUUAGAUGCAAAAACCUCAACAAAGUAUUAGCAAA
rnacentral:lncRNA from 1 species